GAGAUUGUGCACUUCUAAGGAGAUGCCAGGUGGUGCUAAUUCUGCUGCACUGGACACCACACUUAGAGUGGCGAGGUCACUAAAUAAUAGGAGCAAAAGGAUCGUGAGAACACCGACAUCAGUGAGAAGGAGGCUGGCUGCAGAGACCAUGAUCAUAAAUGUGGAAUGAUGGGGACUUUGAGAGAUUUGUAACUGAAGCUGCCUUCAUGCUUGUUAGAAUGGUGGGGUGGAAGAGUUCCCAGUUUUGAAGGAGAAGUACAAGAAGACCCGUAAUGGUUAGCAAGAUAUACAGAACACAGUGGACAUAGCAGCACACUUCUCAAGUCAGGCCCAGAUACAAAGGCAGAUACUGUGUGGGUAAGCGGAAGCGCUUCCGCCUCUGCAACCUGCAGGCCUGCCCCGCUGGCCGCCCCUCCUUCCGCCACGUCCAGUGCAGCCACUUUGACGCUAUGCUCUACGAGGGCCAGCUGCACACAUGGGUGCCCAUGGUCAAUGACGUGAACCCCUGUGAGCUGCACUGCCGGCCCGCGAAUGAGUACUUUGCCGAGAAGCU
rnacentral:lncRNA from 10 species